rnacentral:lncRNA from 1 species
AGCAUGUCCCCCAUCAGGAAAUAAAAACAGGAUAGCAGGGAAACCCCAAACCUGCUCAGGUGGCUGACAGUACUGGAACACUGACUUGAAUUAACAGGAGAAAAUGACAACCAAACCCAAGUGAACUACAGUGGCUUCUGAGCACUGGCAGAAGAUGCUGAGGGGGAGCGAAGACCAAAGCGAGGAGAGGAGCAGAGGGAAGGUAAUCCUGGCACUGUUGACAUCAUCAUGCUGUGUGCAUCUGAAAGGUUCCAAGCUGCAGGCUACUUUGCAGCAUUGGCUUUUUUCUCUUCCCUAAAUGCAUGCACUUUAAAAGUCUCUGGUUUUCAAAUACUAGAUAUUGCACUGGGAAAUUAAGAAACAGCCUUCCAGAACAGUAAGGUAUUUCAGCAACUAUCAGAAAGACAUGCUUGAUGAUAAGCUGUGUAAUUUGUCACAUCAUUUCCUUUCUACCAACUGUUAGAGGAUUCUGAAUUGAGAUAAAAAUUGCCCAAUUGCUGCCAUUAGCUUGGGCCUGGAUUUUUUGCAGCAUCCAUGAAAUCUUCAGAGCCAGUUCAGUGACUAGAGAUGGAGCUACAAACACACACCUUGUAUUUGCCAUGACAAAUGCAGUGACAACAGCCGUGGCACGUCCCAUCUCUAACCUUUAUCUGGUCCUUGAAUAUCAUUAAAGAAGGGAAGACGAGUGGGGAGAAAGCAGAUACUUGCAUGCUUGUGAUCCAAACCAGCUUUCAGCAGAGGCAGGUUCCUACUGCCCUCUGCUGUAACAUCCUUUUACAGCUCCUGAGAAGGAAGAACGACUGCCUGACGUGCAGCACUGGGUGUUACACCCUGAUUGUAUUAAAGCUGUGGAGAGUGGAACAACACAGUUAAAAACAACGGGCUUUGGUUUCUUGCUGCUGCUUUUAAUUCUUGAAGUGGAUAUAUAUAUACCAGGCUCUACCAAAUUACUGCUGGCUCAUGACUCGCUAUCAAGAAACAGCAUGUGGAAACUGUGGAGGGUCAAAUGCCUCCUGAAGAUAUCAGUGCUCCCACCACCUCCCCAGAGUCUCCUGCUUCUGAGCCUUAGGGAGCCUGGCACACAGGCUGUCCAAGAACUGCAGCCAGGCCUGCUCUGUUGUAGGCAGCUCUGAUCAGGGCUGUCUACAAGCUCUUCCCUCUCUAUUCCCUUCUCACUUGUACCUUAGACCACAACUAUGAACGGCACACGGUCCAGCAAGGCCUCCCCUCAGCAACCAGUGCUUGAAAUCUUGUAAUACUAGCUUGUCUAGCUCCCACUACAUGCUACAUGUUUGGAAAAUCAUGUCAGCAAGGAGGACAGCACAUCCUUUUUCCCCUGCCAGCCCAGGGGCACCUAGUCCACAACCAGUCCAUGAUUGCAGCUACUGAAAUAGCAGCUCUGUACCUGACAUCCAAAUCUCUAAUCCUGCAGUGACCCCACACCGGUACAAGGCAUCUCCUCUAGAACAAACUUCAUGCUGUUCCUCCCAGGACCUGAUUAAGGAACAGCUGCCACAAAACCUUUCAAGCUUGUUGGAAUGUGGAAGGGAAAAACAUUACUAUGGUGUCAGCAGGUAAGUGCCUUUCAUUUCAAGUAACCUGACCUCAACCAGCACUUGUCCCUGCUACUGUUCACAGGAUUGUGUGCAGUUGCCAUCAGCUCAUCCCCUACAGCACUCAGAGAGGGGAAGACGCUGUACUGUCCCUGCAAGUUGAGGAAGGUUACACAGGCUCCUUAUCCCUGUGUGCAGUCCACAUA